GAUGAACGCUGGCGGCGUGCCUAAUACAUGCAAGUCGAGCGAACGGACGAGAAGCUUGCUUCUCUGAUGUUAGCGGCGGACGGGUGAGUAACACGUGGAUAACCUACCUAUAAGACUGGGAUAACUUCGGGAAACCGGAGCUAAUACCGGAUAAUAUUUUGAACCGCAUGGUUCAAAAGUGAAAGACGGUCUUGCUGUCACUUAUAGAUGGAUCCGCGCUGCAUUAGCUAGUUGGUAAGGUAACGGCUUACCAAGGCAACAAUGCAUAGCCGACCUGAGAGGGUGAUCGGCCACACUGUAACUGAGACACGGUCCAGACUCCUACGGGAGGCAGCAGUAGGGAAUCUUCCGCGAUGGGCGAAAGCCUGACGGAGCAACGCCGCGUGAGUGAUGAAGGUCUUCGGAUCGUAAAACUCUGUUAUUAGGGAAGAACAUAUGUGUAAGUAACUGUGCACAUCUUGACGGUACCUAAUCAGAAAGCCACGGCUAACUACGUG
rnacentral:rRNA from 1 species